rnacentral:rRNA from 1 species
GCUUGUCUCAAAGAUUAAGCCAUGCAUGUCUAAGUUCAUGCCGUAUUAAGGCGAAACCGCGAAUGGCUCAUUAAAUCAGUUAUGGUUCCUUGGAUCGUACUUUACUACUUGGAUAACUGUGGCAAUUCUAGAGCUAAUACAUGCAGCAGAGCUCCGACCUUCGGGGACGAGCGCUUUUAUUAGACCAAAACCGAUCGAGGCUUCUGCUUCGUUUCCGUGGUGACUCUGUAUAACUUUGGGCUGAUCGCACGGUCUUAGUGCCGGCGACGUAUCUUUCAAGUGUCUGCCUUAUCAACUGUCGAUGGUAGGUUACGCGCCUACCAUGGUCGUAACGGGUAACGGGGGAUCAGGGUUCGAUUCCGGAGAGGGAGCCUGAGAAACGGCUACCACAUCCAAGGAAGGCAGCAGG